CCUACGGGUGGCAGCAGUGAGGAAUAUUGGUCAAUGGGCGAGAGCCUGAACCAGCCAAGUCGCGUGAAGGAUGACGGCCCUACGGGUUGUAAACUUCUUUUGUCAGGGAGCAAUUGAGUCCACGUGUGGUCUUAGCGAGAGUACCUGAAGAAAAAGCAUCGGCUAACUCCGUGCCAGCAGCCGCGGUAAUACGGGGGAUGCGAGCGUUAUCCGGAUUUGUUGGGUUUAAGGGGUGCGUAGGCGGAAUAUCAAGGCAGCGGUAAAAAUUCGGGGCUCAACCCCGUCGUGCCGUUGAAACUGAUGUUCUUGAGUGGGCGAGAAGUAUGCGGAAUGCGUGGUGUAGCGGUGAAAUGCAUAGAUAUCACGCAGAACUACGAUUGCGAAGGCAGCAUACCGGCGCCCAACUGACGCUGAAGCACGAAAGCGUGGGUAGCGAACAGGAUUAGAUACCCUUGUAGUC
rnacentral:rRNA from 1 species